rnacentral:misc_RNA from 1 species
AUUUCUUCCCCUUCUUGCGGCUCCUCAAACUUUUCAUUUUACAAAACUGGCAAGUAGAACAUAGGAAUGCUGCAAACACAACAAUAGAAGCACAUGACAAAUUUAGCUUUACUGGAAUUCCAACAACUCAUUUGUUCACUGCUCUUAUUUGGUUGUCGCAGAAAUGAUAUACAAACACUCAAUGACUGUAAUAGGCAAAUUAAGCAUUCGGAAACUAUGUGAACCUGUAAAGCCAUAAGGGUAAAAAACAGUGAAACACAACCAAAUCAA